rnacentral:lncRNA from 1 species
GAAAAGUGGCCCAAAAUCAAAUCAUGCAGGUGAAACGCUCCUUCAUCGACAAUUCAUCCUUCCUCUGGCCCAAUCGUAGUGUACUCGAAUGGAAUCAAACAAGCUGUAGUGAUCGGCAACUUUGAAUAAGAUUCUCUAAAACGCCCGUUAAAUCCACCAGCAGGAAGCGAUGGACAUAAGAAUAUUCAAAAAGAAUCUGCAUAAAAAGCAAAAUUUGUGAAAGUGUGUCCUAAAUGGACUGAGUGUUUACUGGAGAAAAACAUUGACACAUCAUAUCUCAAUUAUUUUUUUUGGUUAGAUUGUACAGCCAUCGAGUUCGCCCUGCUUCUAAAUAUAGAUAUCAAGGAUCAUUCUCUUAAAAACUUCUAGUAAAUUGUAAAAUAUAGGGUAUAUUUUCAUCUAUGGCAAGUUUCGAAAAAACACCCAGCGAUCAGUGCAAUAAAGCCGCGUUA